CGCGAGCGCACCGAGGUAGGCGAGGCCCGUCACCGGCGGACCGCCACCGGCCGGUCCGCCGGCCGGAGCCGUUCGGGCCGGCGGCUCGCGGC
rnacentral:tRNA from 1 species